rnacentral:sRNA from 1 species
UGUGCACUUACUGUGGGUUUCAGGAGCUUCGAAAGCGAGGGCCUUUGCGGGCUUUUUCGUUAUUAGUUGUGACUGGNCUCAUGUUCACUACAAACCAUUAUAAAGUAACAGAAUGUGUAUUGCGAUGUAACGCAUCUAUAUACAACUUUCAGCAACGGAUCUCUUGGCUCUCGCAUCGAUGAAGAACGCAGCGAAAUGCGAUAAGUAAUGUGAAUUGCAGAAUUCAGUGAAUCAUCGAAUCUUUGAACGCACCUUGCGCUCCUUGGUAUUCCGAGGAGCAUGCCUGUUUGAGUGUCAUGAAAUUCUCAACCUGACGGGUUCUUAACGGGACUUGCUUUCAGGCUUGGACUUGGAGGCUUGUCGGCUUGCUUGUCGAGUCGGCUCCUCUCAAAUGCAUUAGCUUGGUUCUUUGCGGAUCGGCUCCACGGUGUGAUAAUUGUCUACGCCGCGACCGUUGAAGCGUUUGAACGGGCCAGCUUAUAAUCGUCUCUGUCGCGAGACAAACAUUCAUCGAACUCUGACCUCAAAUCA